CGCAACAGCAGUGUUGUAUAUGGGAUAAAAGGGCAGAUAGAGAUAAUAGUAUAAUUGAGGUGGCGGCCUGAGUUAAAGAAGAUGUUUUGUGUCUGGUGGUUUCUGCGAACAGUGCUCUGUAGUGCCUAUUAAAUAUACUGUAAAUGUGUGUUUUCAUGCGUUCUGUUAACGAUGUUAAUGUUCAUAAUGCUGUGUAUAUCUAGUGUGUAUAUACACAGUACCUCUUACAGCACUGCUCUUUUGGUUAGAUGCAAAAGAUUAUUUAAUUGUGUUAUUACCUGUACUCUGCGAUGACAAUAAAGUUGUCAUCUUUUGGUGGCUGACCUAAAAUACAAUACAUGUAUAAAAUAGAAGGGGAUUUUUUUACUUAUUUAACUACUACUUGUUCAACAUAGUAUACCACACCUUUUUUAGUUUACAUUUUAGUUGUUUACACCUUUUUACAACGUACCAUAUUCGUUGGCGGAUAGACAAGCGUGCGCGAGGAAGAGAGGACGACCCGUUGCUUUGCUUGAGCGACACCGUGGCGAGGAAGAUGGCUCGUCUUCCGUAUCUUGGCGAGCCCUUUACGGCGAUCCAUGCCACCUCUGCCGUGACAAACUAUUCUAAAUCUUUUUUAUAUUUUUUUUCACGUCAUGCUAUUUAUUAAAUACUGUAUUAUGCUAUUUGCGAUUAUGCUACCAUGACUUGUUUGAUAUGCUAUACUACAACAGUUUUUCAUUACUUUUCCCACAACCUUUUACUUUAACUACAACCAUGGCGUGCUGUAAGAUAACUAUUUUCAACAUGUUAUAAUACAAUAUUUUUAGUUUGACAUAUUGUACGAGAACUUGUUUUUCAACAUGUUAUACUGAUAAAAUGCAUAAUACUAAUAAUACCAUGAUAUAAAAUAAUCUGUAUUUUAAAUAAUUCUUAAUUCAACCGUAUUACAAAUUAAAAGUUCGACCUUAAACACAUUUGUGUAAGUGAUUAGUGCUUAAAAUGCUCCCCUUUUAUUAAAAAUUAAAAAAGAAAGGCUUCAUCUUUCUGGUACUCAAAUGUACUUAUGUACAUUUUACAUUACGUAUGUAAAGUAAUAUUUUACUUAUAACGUUAAAAACUCGUCCUUUAAUUAACUUUGGAACCCAAAGAAGAACCAAACCGUUUCAUGUGGUUACCUUCCAGGAAGAUAGAAUAACUCAAAUCACCCUCAGCAUGUGACCUAUUUAUGGUGGCGUUAAAAAAGUGAAACAUAGCUCAUAGGCGAAGCUUAGUGAAAGAAUAUUUACAGAUUAUAAUUAUGUUUACUUCUCAAAAAAGUCAAAUGACUUUAAUAAUUUCUAGAAAAUACGGGUCUCCUAAUUGGGUCAGAUGCCCACGCUAUGACUACAAAAAUCAUAUUUCACUAUUUGGCUUUAAUAUAUCAGUAUAACUUUUCAAACUUUUUGGACAAGAUUAUAGCAAAUUGGGAGAAUCCUGGCUUACUGGUGUCUUAAAAAUGACUCAAACGAAAAGGCGUCAGACUCGGGCGAAAUGGCUUCAGUCUUAGAAAAAACCCGUCAAAAAAAACGCUGUCAGAAAAACCUGUCAUUCUCAGACAAAAUGCCUUCAAAACAAAAGUUGUCACCUGUCAGAAAAACCUCCAUCAUAAAAACCUCCCUCAUAAAAACUCCGUCAAAAAAACUCUGUCAGAGAAACCUCA
ensembl:lncRNA